rnacentral:misc_RNA from 1 species
UCGUAAUUCAGAUUCAAUAUACUUUUUACAGAUAUACUAAUUUGACAAUUGAAUAAGUAAUUAAAACAUAUAAGGACUCAUAAUAAAACAGUUAGAAUCGAUAACAGUAGAUAUAAAUACUCACAUAUUUCUUCCAUUUUCUCCUCAAUUGUAAGUAUACGACACAACAGUUAAUGCGAUAUAUAUAAUCAGAUUCGCGGGUACGCAACUUUAUGUAAGUUCUUAUUUUUAAUGUAUUUUGAAUGUGUUUGUUUUUUAAUCUUCUUACAAAGAAAAUCUUUUUAUACAAGCAUAGUAAAGUGCAUAGUAUUCUGUCAUCUUACACAUAAUUAAUCUUCAUUUUUAUGAAAGCAAACUAUGAAAGUAAAUAACGAUAUGAAGGAACGCCAAGUUAUGGAAAAUUAAACAGCUCGAGUCUUCAGCAUUUUCUAGACAGUCUCAAUAUUCAUGACAUAGUCAUUGGACAAAAAACUGUCUCUUAUUCGGAUACUGCCAAAAGCCACAUCUCUGUUUACAUUUGAGUGGACUGAAGAUGAGCAGAAAAUCGCGAGAAUGCUUCUUUAACGAUGGAAGAGAAUCGUCGAGUCGACCUCUUCCAAAUAAGAGGAAGAAGUACUAGUUGUUAACCGUUCUCAGAUAGAUGGCUAAAUAAAUGGAAAUGGAAGGCAUCAUGAGAUAGAAAAAUAGAUAAAUGGAAUGGUAUCAAGCUUAAUAUGCUUGAAUUUCAUGGAAAAUUCUCAAUUUGGAAUGUGAACACUGGUCGAAUGCAGAAG